rnacentral:rRNA from 1 species
AGAAUCAACGCUGGCGGCGUGCCUCAGACAUGCAAGUCGAACGAUUAAAGCUCUCUUCGGAGAGUGUAUAGAGUGGCGCACGGGUGAGUAACACGUAAGUAAUCUACCCUCGAGUGGGGAAUAACGUCCGGAAACGGACGCUAAUACCGCAUAAUGCAGCGGCACCGCAAGGUGACAGUUGUUAAAGAUUUAUCGCUUGAGGAGGAGCUUGCGGCAGAUUAGCUAGUUGGUAAGGUAAUGGCUUACCAAGGCUACGAUCUGUAACCGGUCUUAGAGGACGGUCGGUCACACUGACACUGAAUAACGGGUCAGACUCCUA